GCAUGUCAGGACAAGCUGGCGGUGGCAUCUGUUACUCUAUUGAUCGUUUCUUCAAAAGCUUUGGCCAGUUGAGUGGGUGUCUCCUUUCUCUUCACCUAUCUACAUGUGUUCCCCUAAGGCUACAUUCCAGCUGAAGACACAGGAGGUUUGAAAUUGAAGGAGUAGCAUUCUUCAAUGCCAGGACAUUAUAAGCAAACUUUCUAUCAUUACUGCUGGAAGAACCAAACAGAGGUCAGUUUAGUGAGGCUAGGAGGGACUUCUGUCCAGAAGGAAAAAAUAUCAGUUAGUAAAUGCACUAAAG
ensembl:misc_RNA 7SK 7SK RNA